rnacentral:rRNA from 3 species
GGCGAGUGAACAGGGAAAAGCCCAAAUUUGUAAUCUGGCACUUUUUACAAGUGUCCGAGUUGUAAUUUGUAGAGCUGUUAUCCGUACUGGACCAUGUACAAGUCUGUUGAAAAGCAGCAUCAUUGAAGGUGAAAAUCCUGUAGAUGAUAUGGACUACCAGUAUAUUUGUGAUACGGUUUCUAAGAGUCGAGUUGUUUGGGAAUGCAGCUCAAAGUGGGUGGUAAAUUCCAUCUAAGGCUAAAUAUAAGUGAGAGACCGAUAGCAAACAAGUACCGUGAGGGAAAGAUGAAAAGAACUUUGAAAAUAGAGUUAACAGUACGUGAAAUUGCUGAAAGGGAAACGUUUGAAGUUAGUUUUGUAUUCGUUGGAUCAGCUUCGCAAGGAGUGUAUUCUGAUGAUAAGCAAGUCAACAUCAGUCUAUGAGUAUUGGAUAAGGGUUUUGAGAAUGUAGCAAUUUAAUUGUGUUAUAGCUUGAGACUUGGAUACGAUGCUUUGGAUUGAGGAACGCGUAGUAAGCUUUGAGCGGAUUCGAAAGGAUCUCCUUACUAUGGAUGUUGGUGAAAUAACUUU